AGCAGUAGCCGCGGUAAUACGAAGGGUGCAAGCGUUAAUCGGAAUUACUGGGCGUAAAGGGUGCGUAGGCGGUUGUUUAAGUCUGUUGUGAAAUCCCCGGGCUCAACCUGGGAAUGGCAAUGGAAACUGGACGGCUAGAGUGUGUCAGAGGAUGGUGGAAUUCCCGGUGUAGCGGUGAAAUGCGUAGAGAUCUGGAGGAAUACCGGUGGCGAAGGCGGCCCCCUGGACAAAGACUGACGCUCAGGUGCGAAAGCGUGGGGAGCAAACAGGAUUAGAUACCCCUGUAGUCCCUGUCUCUUAUAC
rnacentral:rRNA from 1 species